rnacentral:rRNA from 1 species
UACAGAGACCUCAAGCGUUAUCCGGAAUCAUUGGGCGUAAAGCGUACCGAUCGGUGGUUUUGAAAGUCAGAGGUGAAAUCACGAAGCUUAACUUCGUGACUGUCCUUUGAAACUUCAGAACUAGAGGGGCAAAGAGGAAACUGGAACAAACGGUGUAGUAGUGAAAUGCGUUGAUAUCGUUUGGAACACCAAUAGCGAAGGCAGGUUUCUGGGUGCCUCCUGACACUGCUAGGACGAGAGCGUGGGGAGCGAAUGGG